rnacentral:rRNA from 1 species
UACGGAGGGUGCAAGCGUUAAUCGGAAUUACUGGGCGUAAAGCGCACGCAGGUGGCUGAGUCAGUCGAUUGUGAAAGCCCUGGGCUUAACCUGGGAAUUGCAGUCGAUACUACUCGGCUCGAGUAUGGGAGAGGGCAGUGGAAUUCCCGGUGUAGCGGUGAAAUGCGUAGAUAUCGGGAGGAACAUCAGUGGCGAAGGCGGGAUCCUGGGCCAGUACUGACGCUGAGGAGCGAAAGCGUGGGGAGCAAACAGG